rnacentral:lncRNA from 1 species
AGUAGCAUCUUAGCUGCUUCCGGCCGCUGGUCGCAGGGCUGCGGGACUACAAUCUUCGCUUGAAAUGGGAGAGAGGGUGGUGCGGAUACCUUGAGGAAGCCUCCCUUGCUGCCCACCUCUAGUUCCUACUGAGCCUCUUCCCUCCUGGAUGGUAUAAAACAGUGCCACAUGGAGUCUUAGGUCUAGCAUCACAUGUAUUGAGCCAAUAUUCACUAAAUGAAUACUUCUGAGCAUCUACUAUGUGUCCGGCAUGCUUCCAGGGACUAAAACCAACAAGAUCCUCCCCUUCAUGGAGCACAAAUCCAGAGUGGAGGAGAGUCAGACCAUGAGUGAGGAAAACAAGCUCAUGAACAAAAUGAGCUAAGUGUCACUGGGACAACAGAACAAAAACAGAUAAAGAACAGAAGCGUACCUGGGAGAGCUGGCUGAAACCAGGACACGGUGGGACCAUUGGAAAGGACUCUAAACCACAGCAGCAGAAGGAGAACUAGACUUGCAGGGAC